CAACCUGCCGCUUACUCGGGGAUAGCCUUUCGAAAGAAAGAUUAAUACCCGAUGGUAUAAAGAGUUCGCAUGUUCUCUUUAUUAAAGAAUUUCGGUAAGCGAUGGGGAUGCGUUCCAUUAGAUAGUUGGCAGGGUAACGGCCCACCAAGUCUACGAUGGAUAGGGGUUCUGAGAGGAAGGUCCCCCACAUUGGAACUGAGACACGGUCCAAACUCCUACGGGAGGCAGCAGUGAGGAAUAUUGGUCAAUGGACGAGAGUCUGAACCAGCCAAGUAGCGUGAAGGAUGACUGCCCUAUGGGUUGUAAACUUCUUUUAUAAGGGAAUAAAGUGAGGGACGUGUCCCUUUUUGUAUGUACCUUAUGAAUAAGGAUCGGCUAACUCCGUGCCAGCAGCCGCGGUAAUACGGAGGAUCCAAGCGUUAUCCGGAUUUAUUGGGUUUAAAGGGAGCGUAGGUUGACAUAUAAGUCAGCUGUGAAAGUUUACGGCUCAACCGUGAAAUUGCAGUUGAUACUGUAUGUCUUGAGUGUACAAGAGGUGGGCGGAAUUCGUGGUGUAGCGGUGAAAUGCUUAGAUAUCACGAAGAACUCCGAUUG
rnacentral:rRNA from 1 species